rnacentral:lncRNA from 1 species
UGGAGAAGUCCAGGUGUUGAGAGAAUGGAGAUGUCCAGGUGUUGGAGGACUGGAGUGUCCGGGUGUCAAGAGAUGGGGUGUCAGGAUGUUCAGGUCUUGGAGAAUGGAAACGUCCAGGUGUUGAGAGACUGGGGUGUCCAGGUGUUGGGGAUAUGGAGGACUGGGAUUUUCAGGUCUUGGAGAAUGGUGGCGUCCGGGUGUUUGUGGAUGGGGUCUCUGGGUGUUUGUAGACAGGGUCUGUGGGUGCUGGGGGAUGGAGAUGUCUGGGUGUUGGGGGACAAGGUGUCUGGGUGUUGGGGGACAAGGUGUGCAGGUGUUUGUAGACAGGGUCUCUGGGUGCUGGGGGAUGGAGGUGUCCGGGCGUUGGUGGACAAGGUGUGCAGGGGUUUGGGGACAAGGUGUCCAGGUGUUUGGGGACGAGGUGUCCGGGUGUUGGGGGACAAGGUGUCUGGGUGUUGGAGGACAAGGUGUGCAGGUGUUUGGGGAUGAGGUGUCCAGGUGUUGGGGGACAGGGUGUCCUGGUGUUUGGGGACAAGGUGUCCGGGUGUUGGGGGACGAGGUGUCCGGGCGUUGGGGGAUGGAGGUGUCCGGGUGUUUUGGGGAUGAGGUGUCCUGGUGUUGGGGACAAGGUGUCCGGG